rnacentral:autocatalytically_spliced_intron from 1 species
AACCGCCGUAUGCGGACCUGCAUGUACGGUGGUGUGAGAGAUCGGGGGCUAGCCGCCCCCUCCUACUCGAU